AUGCCAGCAUUGGCAAUUUUGGCCAGAAGCAGCCGCAUGGCCGAGUGGGAGAGGGUACCAAUGUUCUUGAUCCUCUUCAUCCUUUCCAUUACUAGUGUAGCCACCACCAAUGCAAUUGCAUCAAAAGUUGAUCGGUUCGUGCCUCAAGACAACUACCUCCUCAGCUGUGGGGCAUCCGCUGCUGUGCAGGUUGACGAUGGCAGGACAUUCCGCUCUGAUCCUGAGUCGGUAUCGUUUCUGUCAACCCCGACAGACAUCAAGAUUGCCGCUAAAGCAUCUCUGGCUUCUGCUUCGCCAUUAUCUCCACUUUACCUUGACGCAAGAGUAUUCUCUGAUAUCUCAACCUAUAGCUUCUUCAUCUCCCAGCCUGGUCGCCACUGGAUCCGUCUCUACUUCUUGCCUAUCACCGACACCCAAUACAACCUCACCACUGCAACAUUUUCUGUGUCCACUGAGAGCAUGGUUCUCCUCCAUGAUUUCUCGUUCAUAGCCAGUCCUCCAAACCCUGUGUUUAGGGAGUAUCUUGUGUCAGCACAGGGAGACAACUUAAAGAUCAUCUUUACUCCAAAGAAAAACUCGAUAGCAUUCAUCAAUGCGAUCGAGGUUGUCUCAGCCCCACCAAGCCUUAUUCCAAAUACCACCACCAGAAUGGGUCCUCAGGACCAGUUUGACAUAUCCAACAAUGCAUUGCAGGUUGUCUACCGGCUGAACAUGGGCGGUGCACUGGUUACGUCGUUCAAUGACACACUAGGCAGAACCUGGCUGCCAGAUGCACCCUUUCUGAAGCUUGAGGCAGCAGCAGAGGCAGCUUGGGUUCCUCCUAGAACCAUCAAGUACCCUGAUGACAAGACUCUCACACCCCUCAUCGCUCCAGCAAGCAUCUACUCAACAGCACAGCAGAUGGCCUCAACAAAUAUCACAAAUGCAAAAUUCAACAUAACCUGGGUAAUGGUUGCAGAGCCGGGAUUCAGGUACCUUAUCCGCCUACAUUUCAGCGACAUUGUCAGCAAGACACUCAAUAGCCUCUACUUCAAUGUCUAUAUUAAUGGCAUGAUGGCUGUUGCCAACCUUGAUCUAUCGAGCCUGACAAUGGGGCUUGCAGUAGCCUACUACAAGGACUUGAUUGCAGAAUCUUCCAGCAUCAUCAAUUCCACCCUUGUAGUCCAGGUUGGCCCAAGCACAAUCGACUCCGGCGACCCCAAUGCCAUCCUUAAUGGCCUUGAGAUCAUGAAGAUAAGCAAUGAAGCAAGCAGCCUAGAUGGCCUUUUUUCACCAAAAACAAGCUCAGAAGCUAGUAAGAGGACACUGACUGGCAUAGCAUUUGCUUUGGCAGCAACAGCUGCAUUGGCUGUGGUUAUAUGCUACAGGCGAAACCGUAAACCGGCAUGGCAGAGGACAAACAGCUUCCACUCUUGGUUUCUUCCACUAAACUCGUCCUCGAGCUUCAUGAGCAGCUGCAGCAGGCUCUCCAGAAAUCGCUUUGGCUCCACAAGGACCAAGAGUGGAUUUUCGAGCGUGUUUGCAUCCAGUGCUUAUGGAUUGGGGCGCUAUUUCACCUUCGUGGAAAUUCAGAAAGCCACGAAAAACUUCGAAGAAAAGGGUGUUAUUGGUGUUGGUGGCUUCGGAAAAGUUUAUCUUGGUGCUACUGAAGAUGGCACACAGCUGGCAAUCAAGCGAGGCAAUCCAUCAUCUGAUCAAGGUAUGAAUGAGUUUCUGACUGAAAUUCAAAUGCUAUCAAAACUUCGCCACCGCCACCUGGUUUCACUCAUUGGCUGUUGUGAUGAGAACAAUGAGAUGAUAUUAGUUUAUGAGUUCAUGUCAAAUGGUCCGCUAAGGGAUCAUCUGUAUGGUGACACAAACAUCAAGCCUAUCUCUUGGAAGCAGCGCCUUGAAGUUUGCAUUGGGGCAGCAAAGGGUCUGCAUUAUCUUCAUACAGGUUCAGCUCAGGGCAUAAUUCACCGUGAUGUCAAGACUACCAACAUCCUACUUGAUGAAAAUUUUAUCGCCAAGGUCGCUGAUUUUGGCCUAUCAAAAGAUGCUCCAUCCCUCGAACAAACUCAUGUGAGCACUGCUGUCAAAGGAAGCUUUGGGUAUCUUGACCCAGAGUACUUCAGACGUCAACAGCUGACAGAUAAGUCUGAUGUAUACUCUUUUGGUGUGGUACUCUUUGAAGUGCUGUGUGCAAGACCGGCCAUCAAUCCAUCUCUUCCAAGAGACCAAGUGAAUCUAGCUGAGUGGGCCCGUACAUGGCACCGCAAGGGGGAGCUUGGUAAAAUAAUUGAUCCCAAUAUCGCAGGGCAAAUCAGGCCUGAUUCACUUGAGAUGUUUGCUGAGGCUGCUGAGAAAUGCCUUGCUGACUAUGGAGUCGACCGGCCAACAAUGGGAGAUGUGUUAUGGAAACUUGAAUUUGCCUUGCAACUUCAAGAGAAGGGUGAUGUUGUUGAUGGCGCCAGUGAUGGGAUCCCAAUGAAGAGCUUGGAGGUGUCCAAUGUGGAUAGUAUGGAGAAAUCUGGUAAUGCUAUCCCAUCUUAUGUCCAAGGAAGAUGA
rnacentral:rRNA from 1 species